rnacentral:rRNA from 1 species
UGGUGCCGUAACUUCGGGAGAAGGCACGCUGACACGUAGGUGAAGUGAUUUACUCAUGGAGCUGAAGUCAGUCGAAGAUACCAGCUGGCUGCAACUGUUUAUUAAAAACACAGCACUGUGCAAACACGAAAGUGGACGUAUACGGUGUGACGCCUGCCCGGUGCCGGAAGGUUAAUUGAUGGGGUCAGCGCAAGCGAAGCUCCUGAUCGAAGCCCCGGUAAACGGCGGCCGUAACUAUAACGGUCCUAAGGUAGCGAAAUUCCUUGUCGGGUAAGUUCCGACCUGCACGAAUGGCGUAAUGAUGGCCAGGCUGUCUCCACCCGAGACUCAGUGAAAUUGAACUCGCUGUGAAGAUGCAGUGUACCCGCGGCAAGACGGAAAGACCCCGUGAACCUUUACUAUAGCUUGACACUGAACAUUGAGCCUUGAUGUGUAGGAUAGGUGGGAGGCUUUGAAGUGUGGACGCCAGUCUGCAUGGAGCCGACCUUGAAAUACCACCCUUUAAUGUUUGAUGUUCUAACGUGGACCCGUGAUCCGGGUUGCGGACAGUGUCUGGUGGGUAGUUUGACUGGGGCGGUCUCCUCCUAAAGAGUAACGGAGGAGCACGAAGGUUGGCUAAUCCUGGUCGGACAUCAGGAGGUUAGUGCAAUGGCAUAAGCCAGCUUGACUGCGAGCGUGACGGCGCGAGCAGGUGCGAAAGCAGGUCAUAGUGAUCCGGUGGUUCUGAAUGGAAGGGCCAUCGCUCAACGGAUAAAAGGUACUCCGGGGAUAACAGGCUGAUACCGCCCAAGAGUUCAUAUCGACGGCGGUGUUUGGCACCUCGAUGUCGGCUCAUCACAUCCUGGGGCUGAAGUAGGUCCCAAGGGUAUGGCUGUUCGCCAUUUAAAGUGGUACGCGAGCUGGGUUUAGAACGUCGUGAGACAGUUCGGUCCCUAUCUGCCGUGGGCGCUGGAGAACUGAGGGGGGCUGCUCCUAGUACGAGAGGACCGGAGUGGACGCAUCACUGGUGUUCGGGUUGUCAUGCCAAUGGCACUGCCCGGUAGCUAAAUGCGGAAGAGAUAAGUGCUGAAAGCAUCUAAGCACGAAACUUGCCCCGAGAUGAGUUCUCCCUGAGACUUUAGGUCUCCUGAAGGAACGUUGAAGACGACGACGUUGAUAGGCCGGGUGUGUAAGCGCAGCGAUGCGUUGAGCUAACCGGUACUAAUGAACCGUGAGGCUUAACCUUACA